rnacentral:rRNA from 1 species
UGGGUAACCUGCCUCAAAGAGGGUAUAGCCUCCCGAAAGGGAGAUUAAUACCGCAUAAUAUGUUUAAGUCGCAUGACUUUAACAUCAAAGGAUUUUCUUUUAAGAAAUUCCACUUUGAGAUGGACCCGCGGCGCAUUAGCUAGUUGGUGAGGUAACGGCUCACCAAGGCAACGAUGCGUAGCCGACCUGAGAGGGUGAUCCGGCCACAUUGGAACUGAGACACGGUCCAGACUCCGUAGGGAG